GACGAACGCUGGCGGCGUGCUUAACACAUGCAAGUCGAACGGUAAGGCCCUUCGGGGUACACGAGUGGCGAACGGGUGAGUAACACGUGGGUGAUCUGCCCUGCACUUCGGGAUAAGCCUGGGAAACUGGGUCUAAUACCGGAUAGGACUCCUGGCUUCAUGGUUGGGGGUGGAAAGCUUUUGCGGUGUGGGAUGGGCCCGCGGCCUAUCAGCUUGUUGGUGGGGUAAUGGCCUACCAAGGCGACGACGGGUAGCCGGCCUGAGAGGGUGACCGGUCACACUGGGACUGAGAUACGGCCCUGACUCCUACGGGAGGCAGCAGUGGGGAAUAUUGCACAAUGGGCGCAAGCCUGAUGCAGCGACGCCGCGUGAGGGAUGACGGCCUUCGGGUUGUAAACCUCUUUCAGCUAUGACGAAGCGCAAGUGACGGUAGUAGCAGAAGAAGGACCGGCCAACUACGUGCCAGCAGCCGCAGUAA
rnacentral:rRNA from 1 species